rnacentral:lncRNA from 1 species
AUGAAGCAAGUCCUCCGCCAUCGCCACCGGCACCGCCAGGACCAAAGGUUACUACUGCUCCAAAAUUAAGGUCAAAAGCAUGGAAAAACUUCAGUAGGAUUGAACAACCUAAUCCUGAUGAAGUAGUGGUAGAGUGCAAUAUUUGUCAUACUAUACUUAGAGCGCCCUCGAAGAAUGGAACAUCUAGUUUGUUAAGGCAUACUGCUCAAGUGCAUCCACAUAAUACAAAUGAAGUGAAUAACUAUUUUCUGAAAACUGAAAAGAAUGCGGAUGGCUCACAUUCAGUUAGGAACACAAAGUUGGACAUGGAAACUAUUAGAGCUGCAAUCUCUAUGUUCCUAGUUGGGGGUUCACAUGCAUUUAGUGUGAUAGAAGAAGUGGGGUUCAAAAAAAAUGAUUGGUGCUGCUUGUCCUCAGUUUAAGAUUGUUAGUCGGUACACAAUUAGAAGGGAUAUCAUGGCAAUGUUUGAAAGAGAGAGGACUGAAUUGAGAGAAAUUAUCAGCAACAGCCCUAGUAGAGUUAGCUUCACCACGGACAAUUGGAAAUCAGAUGUGACAAAGUUUAGUUAUAUUUGUAUUACUUGUCAUUAUGUUGAUGAUGCUUGGAGACUGAACAAAGGAUAAUAUGGUUUAAAAAGUUGAAUCCACCUUAUGAUGGGGCUACAAUUGCUGAUGAAGUCCAUUUAUGCUUUCGUGAGUGGAAGGUUGACACCAAAAUAAUGUGCAUGACUCUUGAUAAUGCUGCAUACAAUGAUUCAAUGAUCAACACUUUGAGAACUACAUUGCUGCCUAAAGGUGUGUUACCAUUGUUUGGAACCUUCUUUCAAGUCCGAUGUUGUGCACGCAUUUUAAAUCUGAUUGUCCAAGUUGGUCUGAAACUUAUUGAUAAAUCUGCUGACAAGAUUAGAGAGGGCAUUCAAUAUAUCAAAAUUUCUAGCAAUCAUAUUCACAAGUUCUAUGAAACUGCCAAGAACAUUUACCAUUUGAAAGAAGAUAAAAGGCUGAGAGUAGAUAUGCCUCCAAUUUAUAAAGUGACAUGCACAUUGUCCGGGUCAAAGUAUGCUACCUCCAAUUUGUAUUUCCAGUGUGUGUUCUUGGUUCAAUCAUGUGUCUUGAAGGCAUCUAGUGAAGUACAUGAGUUCAUGUCUCCAAUGCUAGCUCCAAUGAAAGAGAAGUUUGAUAAGUAUUGGGCUGAUUAUAAUGUCUUCUUGUCUUGUAUUGCUGUCCUUGAUCCCCGUUGCAAGCUUGGUUUUGUUAAAUACUGUUAUGGAAAACUUUAUGCCCCCGACGAGGCAGAACGUCGGAUGCAUGAAGUUAAGAAAACUUUGGAGAAUUUGUUUGCUGAAUAUAAUGGUGCUGCUGUUAGUCAAACAUUAUCAGAUGGUGCUACAAACAGUAGGGGAAGUAGGGGAGAUGGUUCUGAUAUGUUUGAUGACUAUGAGAGUUACAUUCAAUCUCAACGGACAAAUGUAGAGAGGUCUCAAUUGGAUCUUUACUUGGAAGAAACUCCUAGAAAAUUGACUGAUGAGUUGGAUGUCUUGGAAUUUUGGAGCAAAUCAUCUAUGCGAUACCCUGAGCUUGCAUCAAUGGCUCGGGAUAUUCUUGCUGUCCCCAUUUCUAGUGUUGCUUCGGAGCAAGCAUUUAUCAUGAGUCGCAACGUUAUAACACCUAACCGAGCUUCACUUAAGCCUAAGACCAUCGAGGCUUUAAUGUGUCUCCAAGAUUGGUAUCGUUGGAAGAUGUCUCAGAAUGAAGGUACAAUCAAUUGCCUAUUGUUGUUUCAUAUUAACAUCACCAUUGCACACAUUACCAUUGAUUCUUGUAUUGUUUGUUUUGUAGAAAUGAGCACUACAAGAGGUGGACCUUCAAGUUCUCAUGCAGAUGAGUUAUCUUCAGAUUCGGUUUGUAUUCAUUCAUGUCAUUUCUAUCUAACUUACUAUCUUGUCUUGUUUACCAUAUAUCAGUUAUGCACUCCUUUACUACCUUGUCUUGUUUGUUGAUAUCAAACUUGCUUUCGUGCUUCAUGCCAUUCCUAUUUUUCUUAUUUUCAACUUGUGCUUUCAUCCAGGAAAAUGAUGAAGUUUAGAUAGCUUGAUGGAACAAGGAAGAGAUGGAUUCAAAGGAGUCAUCAGCUUGUGGCUUUGAACUUGCUAUUUGAUAUCUUUAUUAUGUAAUGGUUGUUAUGUAAUCGACUUGUUGAACUAUGUGUGGACUUAUUGAACUAUGUUGUGGACUUACCGAACCAUGUUGCGGACUUGUCAAACU